GUCACUGGUCCGCCUCACAUCACCUUCCACUCAUCAAGCACACAACUUCCCAGAUCAUCCCAAAAUGCAAACGGUAGUGAAAUAAAUCCACCUACCUCCCUGACUGCGGAUGUCUGACGGAGGACGGGCGAAACCUCAACGGAAGUGAGUGACACACUGGCUGGCUACCACCAGAAACAAGGAUUUUCUCUGGCCCAUCAUCACAUUCCAGGCAUCAUUCACAUUCCAGUCAUCGCAGAUCGCCCCAUGACAUAAAUGGCACCACCUACCUCCUUGACUUCGGAUGAAAAACUGUUGGAAAUCUGGGGACUGACAGAGAAUUGACAAACCUCAACGAAAGUGCAUACCACCAAUGGCAACCGCCACCAAUAGAAUCAAGGAUUUCACUGGCCCGCCACUCAUCACAUUCCAGUUUACGCACAUCAGCAACGAGUGUACCACCUUUUUAUGAUUAUUGAGCCUGAGUUGGUUUAGCGUAAGCCUUGCCCCAUUUCAAUGAUCGUUUCAAGAUGGUUUGAAUUGUACCAAACUUUGAUUUCGCCUGAGUAUUUUGAAUCCCUAUGCUCAAACUUCGCGUUUAUUCUUCAGCAUUUCAUCUCUUGAGCUGUGCAUUUUUCUUUACAAGAAUUCUCUACGGCAGUUUGUUUUUGCCUAAUUUUGAAUGGAAGGAGGGGGUUAAGUACGCUGUUGUGCCAUCAUAUUGAUUAACGAGUUGAUUGGCGACAGUAGGAGUGGAUAUGAAAUGCAAUAUCGACUGGUGAGUCUGGUUACUGUUCAUUGACAACAAAUUCCCAUCGUGUAAACGCGAAAGAGCAAAGUUUAUUUAGGGUCCACUUGGCUUUUACCUUUUGAAUGUGCUCUGGGCGACGAUUUUUGUGGUUAUAGUUGCUUUAUUUUCCUUGUUUUGCUUUUUGAGCGUCGUAAAAAAAGAGUUUAUCCCUGAGAUGUUUAGUUCACUAAAUAACGGAAGGUUUAGAGGUCUUUAUAGCAGCAUA